CGCUGGCGGCAGGCCUAACACAUGCAAGUCGAGCGGUAACAUUUCUAGCUUGCUAGGAGAUGACGAGCGGCGGACGGGUGAGUAAUGCUUGGGGAUCUGCCUGAUGGCGGGGGACAACCACUGGAAACGGUGGCUAAUACCGCAUAAUGUCUACGGACCAAAGUGUGGGACCUUCGGGCCACACGCCAUCAGAUGAACCCAAGUGAGAUUAGCUAGUUGGUGGGGUAAAGGCUCACCAAGGCGACGAUCUCUAGCUGGUUUGAGAGGAUGAUCAGCCACACUGGAACUGAGACACGGUCCAGACUCCUACGGGAGGCAGCAGUGGGGAAUAUUGGACAAUGGGGGCAACCCUGAUCCAGCCAUGCCGCGUGUGUGAAGAAGGCCUUCGGGUUGUAAAGCACUUUCAGCGAGGAGGAAGGGUUGAACGUUAAUAGCGUUCAAUUUUGACGUUACUCGCAGAAGAAGCACCGGCUAACUCUGUGCCAGCAGCCGCGGUAAUACAGAGGGUGCAAGCGUUAAUCGGAAUUACUGGGCGUAAAGCGCACGCAGGCGGUUUGUUAAGUCAGAUGUGAAAUCCCCGGGCUCAACCUGGGAAUUGCAUUUGAAACUGGCAAGCUAGAGUACGAGAGAGGGGGGUAGAAUUCCACGUGUAGCGGUGAAAUGCGUAGAGAUGUGGAGGAAUACCGGUGGCGAAGGCGGCCCCCUGGCUCGAUACUGACGCUCAGGUGCGAAAGCGUGGGGAGCAAACAGGAUUAGAUACCCUGGUAGUCCACGCCGUAAACGAUGUCUACUAGCUGUUCGAGGUCUUGUACUUUGGGUAGCGCAGCUAACGCAUUAAGUAGACCGCCUGGGGAGUACGGUCGCAAGAUUAAAACUCAAAUGAAUUGACGGGGGCCCGCACAAGCGGUGGAGCAUGUGGUUUAAUUCGACGCAACGCGAAGAACCUUACCUACUCUUGACAUCUAGCGAACUUAGCAGAGAUGCUUUGGUGCCUUCGGGAACGCUAAGACAGGUGCUGCAUGGCUGUCGUCAGCUCGUGUUGUGAAAUGUUGGGUUAAGUCCCGCAACGAGCG
rnacentral:rRNA from 1 species